rnacentral:rRNA from 1 species
UUGAACGCUGGCGGCAUGCUUUACACAUGCAAGUCGAACGGUAACAGGCCUUCGGGUGCUGACGAGUGGCGAACGGGUGAGUAAUGCAUCGGAACGUACCCAGAGGUGGGGGAUAACGUAGCGAAAGCUGUGCUAAUACCGCAUGUGAUCUGAGGAUGAAAGCGGGGGACCGAGCAGCAAUGUUUGGCCUCGCGCCUUUGGAGCGGCCGAUGUCGGAUUAGCUAGUUGGUGGGGUAAAGGCCUACCAAGGCGACGAUCCGUAGCUGGUCUGAGAGGACGACCAGCCACACUGGGACUGAGACACGGCCCAGACUCCUACGGGAGGCAGCAGUGGGGAAUUUUGGACAAUGGGCGCAAGCCUGAUCCAGCAAUGCCGCGUGCGGGAAGAAGGCCUUCGGGUUGUAAACCGCUUUUGGCAGGAACGAAACGGUGUCCGCUAAUACCGGGCGCUAAUGACGGUACCUGCAGAAUAAGCACCGGCUAACUACGUG